UCCAAAACUGCUGGAUUCUAACUCUGUCCUCAUUACAGGCUGGUCUCUACUUUUUGUGCUCAGUGCCAAUGCAAAUGUUUGUUACAGGAUUUUCCCUCACUCGCUGCAAGACCACGCUGAUCAUGCUCACUUCCUGUCUAGGUGUUUCUCAGCUGUGAGUCACAGCCCACUGCACAACAACCACCUCUGUGACCAAACAUUGCUACGGAAAACUACUCAGCCUGGAUUUUCCACUCUAUGUCUUAUUACUUAAUGGGCAAAAGUGAAGGAGCAUCCAGUACCAUCAGAAUUCAGGACUGCUGAGAGCUGCCAACUCUGCCAACUUAUAUGGAUAAUACAAGUCAGUAAGGACUCCAUAGGAGCCACAGGAGUUCUUAUUACAAAAAGCCACACCAGCAGCUUCAGCAGGGGCAUUGAUCAGGACACUAAAGAUGGAGAAAUGGGCUGACAGGAACCUCAUGAAGUUCAGCAAGAAGAAGUGCAAAGUCCCGCACCUGGAGAGGAACAAGAAAAUGGAGCCAGACUCUUUUCAGUGCCAGGUCCAGAAGCAAUGGGAACAAACUGCAAUGCAGAAGGUUCCCAUCGAACAUCAGGAAACACUUUUUUCUUGUGAGCGUUGGCACAGAUUGGCCAGGGAGACUGUGGAAUCUCCAUCUUUAGAGUUUCUGUAAUAACAGUCUCCAAGAGCAGCUAGGACACGUGCCAAUCUGGAACUACAGAAAAAUAAUUAAAUAGAAGGCUUUCAGCCCAAGUAAUCUACAUCUAGACAGUUGCA